AAUUUAAAAACACCCAAAACGCCCGGGAAGGGGCGCGCCCCCUUUUAUAUAGGGGUUUUCCCUCUGCUCAGAUUGAACGCUGGCGGCAGGCUUAACACAUGCAAGUCGAGCGGAGAGAGGUAGCUUGCUACUGAUCUUAGCGGCGGACGGGUGAGUAAUGCUUAGGAAUCUGCCUAUUAGUGGGGGACAACAUUUCGAAAGGAAUGCUAAUACCGCAUACGUCCUACGGGAGAAAGCAGGGGAUCUUCGGACCUUGCGCUAAUAGAUGAGCCUAAGUCGGAUUAGCUAGUUGGUGGGGUAAAGGCCUACCAAGGCGACGAUCUGUAGCGGGUCUGAGAGGAUGAUCCGCCACACUGGGACUGAGACACGGCCCAGACUCCUACGGGAGGCAGCAGUGGGGAAUAUUGGACAAUGGGCGCAAGCCUGAUCCAGCCAUGCCGCGUGUGUGAAGAAGGCCUUAUGGUUGUAAAGCACUUUAAGCGAGGAGGAGGCUACUUUAGUUAAUACCUAGAGAUAGUGGACGUUACUCGCAGAAUAAGCACCGGCUAACUCUGUGCCAGCAGCCGCGGUAAUACAGAGGGUGCAAGCGUUAAUCGGAUUUACUGGGCGUAAAGCGCGCGUAGGCGGCUAAUUAAGUCAAAUGUGAAAUCCCCGAGCUUAACUUGGGAAUUGCAUUCGAUACUGGUUAGCUAGAGUGUGGGAGAGGAUGGUAGAAUUCCAGGUGUAGCGGUGAAAUGCGUAGAGAUCUGGAGGAAUACCGAUGGCGAAGGCAGCCAUCUGGCCUAACACUGACGCUGAGGUGCGAAAGCAUGGGGAGCAAACAGGAUUAGAUACCCUGGUAGUCCAUGCCGUAAACGAUGUCUACUAGCCGUUGGGGCCUUUGAGGCUUUAGUGGCGCAGCUAACGCGAUAAGUAGACCGCCUGGGGAGACGUACCU
rnacentral:rRNA from 1 species